GACGAACGCUGGCGGCGUGCCUAAUACAUGCAAGUCGAGCGGACGAAUCGAAAGCUUGCUUUUGAUUCGUUAGCGGCGGACGGGUGAGUAACACGUGGGCAACCUGCCCUGUAGACGGGGAUAGCACCGAGAAAUCGGUGCUAAUACCGGAUAACACGAAAUGUCGCAUGACGUUUCGUUGAAAGACGGCGCAAGCUGUCGCUACAGGAUGGGCCCGCGGCGCAUUAGCUAGUUGGUGAGGUAACGGCUCACCAAGGCGACGAUGCGUAGCCGACCUGAGAGGGUGAUCGGCCACACUGGGACUGAGACACGGCCCAGACUCCUACGGGAGGCAGCAGUAGGGAAUCUUCCGCAAUGGACGAAAGUCUGACGGAGCAACGCCGCGUGAGCGAAGAAGGCCUUCGGGUCGUAAAGCUCUGUUGUUAGGGAAGAACAAGUAACGCAGUAACUGGCGUUACCGUGACGGUACCUAACGAGAAAGCCACGGCUAACUACGUG
rnacentral:rRNA from 1 species